rfam:TPA: Bos taurus chromosome 8, whole genome shotgun sequence.
UCCCUGGUGGUCCAGUGGUUAAGACUGCAGGCUCCCAGUGCAGAGGGCCCAGGUUCGAUCCCUGGUCAGGGAA